rnacentral:rRNA from 1 species
GAUGAACGCUGGCGGCGUGCCUAAUACAUGCAAGUCGAACGCUGGUAAUCUAGCUUGCUAGAUUGAAGGAGUGGCGAACGGGUGAGUAAUACAUAAGCAACCUACCCACGAAGACUGGGAUAAUCUCUGGAAACGGGGACUAAUACCGGAUAGGUAAUCGGAAGGCAUCUUCUGAUUAUUAAAGGUUAAAAACACUGGUGGAUGGGCUUAUGGCGCAUUAGUUAGUUGGUGAGGUAACGGCCCACCAAGACGAUGAUGCGUAGCCGGCCUGAGAGGGUGAACGGCCACAUUGGGACUGAGACACGGCCCAGACUCCUACGGGAGGCAGCAGUAGGGAAUUUUCGGCAAUGGGGGAAACCCUGACCGAGCAACGCCGCGUGAGUGAGGACGGCCUUCGGGUUGUAAAGCUCUGUUGUAAGGGAAGAACGGUAGAUAGAUAAUAUCUAAAUGACGGUACCUUACCAGAAAGCCACGGCUAACUACGUG